UUAAAGGUGGGGAAGGGGAAGAGGGGACAGGGAGAGGUUGAUUAACACAUACAAAAGUCCAGCUAGAUAUGAGGAAUAAGUUCUAGUGUUCUAUAGCACUAUGAGAUGACUAUAAUUAAAAACAAUUUAUUGUACACAGGCAGUCCUCGUGUUAUGGACAACCUGAUUUACAGUGUUCCAUAUUUAUGAACGGGCUCCUAAGGCUCAUAAGGAUAAUUCAUAAUUAAAUAAUUAAAUCCAUAACUCAGGAACUAGUGUCUUCCAUGCAUGUAAACAAACCUGCAUGGUAGAAGCCGUUCACUGGUGCUGAAUCUUUACGCUACAGCUAGUCUCAUAGAGAGACAGAGAUGCGGCUGAUAGAAACAGAAGAACGUGAAGAGUCAGAAGAUCCAGAGACAAGAAAGUUAUGACAAAAGAAUUCUCUGAGACCUUUCAUCACACUGAAUGCAGGAUUUGCCAAGUUUGAGGAGCAAGAUCCUAAUAAGGAGCAGUUCACAAAAGUUUACCAUGCAGUUAACAAGAACAUCAGCUGCUACAAAGCCAUUUAUGACAAAAAAAGAAAAAGACUGUGCAAACAACCCUAGAUACCUCUUUCAAGAAACCAGCUUCAGUGGUCAGCUCCUCUCCUCCAGCAAAAGAAUUAAAUCCUGAUUCUCGAACACCCACUCCAUCCCCUCCAGCACCAUGUCCAUCAUCAUCUUCCGAUCAAUGUCAGCCUGCCUUCUUGCCUCAAAAUUCCCCCUUCCAGUAAGCAAGACAUUGAUGUAACAUUAGGAUCCCUGUGACAGGAGGGGAGGGCUAGCUUCCAGCUGCAAGCCCUCUCAUUCAAGGCUCGUGCUGCCGCCAGCAGUGUCUUUGGAGUCUAGUUCAAAGCUGAAGAGAGCCAACCACGGAGCUGGGAGCCGUUGGUGGAGGGGCUGGCCUGAAGGGAGUGAAGUGUUUCAGCCAGAACGUACUGAUGCACGACCAGGAAACCACAAGACUGGUGAGAACCUUUCCAAGCCUGAGCCUUCUGAUCAAAAGAGGUACAGGAAGCAGCUCUGCCAAGAGUCCUUUCUGCUGCAGGCUGGAGCUCUGAGCUUCUGAGCCUCUCUGAGUCAACUCCCUGAGCAGAUGCUAUCACUCAAGGAGCCAUCACUAAAGAGCAUUUUCUUGGUUUGCUCUGAGGUGGCCCCACCAGAGGGUGGGAGUGAGUUACUAUCUUUUUUUCUCUUUCUUGAUUUCUUUCUUUUGGCAGAGGUUGCCAUCUGAUUGCUCACCAUGAUUUUUCAGAAGUCCUAGAUGACUGGAUUACCCUAUGCCAACUGUCUAUCAUUUGGUUCUCAGGGCAUACUGUACACAAACCCCAAAUCCUAAAACUCUUACCAAUAUCUAGGUCAUGAUUAGCAAAUCUAUCAGUAAUAGCCUCGACUUCAGCAGGAAAGAGAACUGGCAGUUUUUUCGUUCUUGCAUCCCAAUCAUUAUCCCUUUUCCCAGGCUACACUUCUUUUUGUUCCCUCUAAGAAUAGACUCAACUAGGAAUUACCUUCAGAUCUCUGUCACAGAUAUAGAGCAUGUCUACAUACAAGGUCAAAAUAAUUUUGUUUCUGUGGAUUCUCUCUUUUUUUUUGACCCGAGUAACUGCCAGUUGCCACGCGUUAAAUAACAUCAUCAUAUGGCAGAUCCUGUUAACAGCUGAGACCCACAGGCUAACUGAACCAUGUCCUGAGAGCUAAAUGAUGGAGAAAUUGGGCUAACCAUGGAGCACUUCAAAUUGAUUGCUUAGUAAUGGGAUAUUUUUCCUGGAAAGACAACAGCAUAAUUCUGAACUGUUGAUUCUGUCAUGGGUACAGGCUUCUAUGUACAGGAAAACAAAGAAAGUGUGAUGAAUUUUUCAUUUGCCCUUCUGCCUUCUUUCUUGCUUUCUGCUCUACAUUGCAUGUCUCCAUGUUUAUUCCGUAAAUUCUGAUUUGACAACCCAUCAAUACCGACCGUGUGGCGUACAAUCUAUAGUUGAAAUCUACUUCUUACCAAAAUCUCAGCAAGCAUGAGGUGGCCAACAGCUUCUUUGAGAUGAUGUCCCAAGUCUUAACUUGGGUUUCAAUCAUUUCAGGAAACAUGAAAAAUUCAAUGGUGAGAGGACAUACACCUUCUGCAAAGAUGUCAGAAAUCAAGUUUCAGGAGACUCUACACACAAACUGAGCAUUAUUAAUCAAGUGAAUUCUGAAUUAUUUCUCCCCUGGGAAUGUUAUAUGAAGUAGAGAUUUUGCAAACACAUUGUGCUGCAGUGCAAUUUGGGACAUACCUUUUUUGGGGAAGUGCUAACUUUGUACUCUCCUGACACCAAACAUUCGCAAAUAAAACCUUUUUUAUUUCUCUCCUUCUCUCCUCCACUUUUGGCUUAGUUUAUCCUACCAAAACACACUUCAAAAGAUUUCUUUAUAGAAAGAAUGUUUCAAAAAUAUAAUAUUUCCAUCUGUUAUUUCAAUAACACAUGCUCUGGGACUCUCUUUAUGAACCAUUUUCCUUUCUUUGCUCCCAUUUAGAUGUAUAAAUAUUUGAUUCUAAAGCUCUGAGGAACAGUCAGCCAAUUGGGUCACUGAAUUGUGAACAUUCUUAACCCUAUAAUUUUGUCUGUAGCAGGCACCUCAUGCUGUGGAACUAGCUGCUAAGGGAUUAUAGCAAUGUAAUCCUCAGACUGUUCCAUCUCAGGGUUACUCUGAAGUGGAAGGAAGGAAGCAGUUUUAAUUUUGAUAAAAUAAACUUUAUUUUGAAACUUUA